rnacentral:misc_RNA from 1 species
UCACCAUUCAAGCCUGGCUUGGUAUUGGGUGCCGUCCUGCCCUCUGCGGUGCGGACGCUCCCUAAAACUAUCGGCGGUGCAGCACCGGCUUCGAGCGUAGCAGACCUUCGCUUUCGGGGAUCCGGUGAGGCAGCGGCCGCGACGCACAACCUUUU